CAGGAGUUAGUGUCAGAAUUGAAUUGAAUCGUUGGGUGCCCAACCGUGUGAGAGAACCAGAGGGUUGGAAAAUUGGUGUUGAAAAUGACCAUGUAUUUGGUGUUAGGGAGGAAACAACCCUUCACAUAUCAGUAUAAAAAUAAAUUGUUGGACAUUGUUCUAGGAAUCUUAUACAGCUGUUAAAACUUAAAAUGGCAGCUACAUCCUCAUUGUGAUAAGUGCAUUUUUCUUUUGUAAUUUUGAAGAAUUAGACUUAAACGUGUUUAAGAGAAUAGCAAACUUUACCGCCUCUUAAAUUUGUCCCAGCAACUAACCACUCCUUCCUUCCUUCCUCCCUCCCUCCCUCCUUUCCUUCCUUCCUGCUUUCCUCUUGAAGGAAAUAAUGUAUACGGUGGUCCAUUUCCAAGACAAAGUGCCUUGAAUCAGCUUAGGUCAGCAAACUACAGAAGAACUAGGAUAUACUAGGCCCCUGCUUGGAUAGCAACGCCUGCUUGUCGGCCUCCGUCCCCCACCCCUUCACCUAAACCAAAGAAGUUUUAUUCUAAGAUAAAAGUUUACUAGCUCACUUUAUCUGUUCUUAUCAGCCUGUCCAGCUACUUAGGUCAUUAAGUCAAACACUUAAAGAGCCCUUGAGCUAACUAGGAUUGCAAUGCAUUGUGGGCUGCAAUAAAAUGCAGCAAGACAACCCUAAAAAAAAAAAAAUCACCUAAAGCCCCUACUCAACAAGCAUAAGCAAAGUCCGGGAAGAUAGUGACCCCAUAGUACUCAGCCUCUGAGGAACCGGGGGAGGGAGCUGCGCACUAGGGGAUAAAUUGCUUGUUAAAACUGUACUGGUGGGAGGCUGAGGCAGGAGAAUCACUUGAACCCAGGAGGCGGAAGUUGCAGUGAGCUGAGAUCGUGCCACUGCACUCAAGCCUGGGUGACAGAGCAAGACUCUGUCUCCAAAAGCAAACAAACAAACAAACAAAACUAUACUGGGCGUGCCUGCCUAUCAGACACCCAAUCUUGCAAGACCACCAUUAAAAGUCUCACUUUUGCUGUUCUCCGAGUCUCUGAAUCCAUUCUUUGGGUUUGGAAGGGUGAGUUUGUUUUUCACAAUCUGGUGGCCAUACGGGGAUCUCUGUGCCUGCAUGGAGAGGGGAGACGUGCCCCACUUGAUUUAUGUGGCCCGCUCUGUCUGGAUGUCCCGGCUCCCCACAGAAGCCACAGACAAACCGGAGACCAUGAUUCAGGAGAUAACAAAAGUGACACAGGAAGAAAAGCAGGCACCGCGGCAACCAGACAACCUCGUGCACGAACCACGGUGGGAAAAUGGGACUGUCACCACUUCCAGCCUGGCGACUUGGUGCUAAUUAAGACUUGGAAGGAAGACAAUCUCCACCCAAGCUGGGAAGGUUCCUAUCAAGUGCUCGUGAUCACUGAGACAGCCGUAGGAACAGCUGAACGGGGUGGACACUCACACUCGGGUCAAGAGACUGGUAAAAGAAACCCCAGAAGGAAGGGAAAAAGAGGAGAAGCCAGUUGCCAUAUUGUGAGGAUGCUCAAGCAACCUUAUGAAGAGGUCUACAUGGUGAAGAACUAAGGCCUACUAUCAAAAACAAACACUAAUUUGCCAGACAUGUGAGUGAGUAUAUUGGAAGUGGAUCCUCCAACCUUCUAAGACUUGACAUGACUACAACCCCUGCCAACACCUUGAAUGAAACUUCAUAAGAGAACCUAAUCCAGAAUCACAUAGCUAAGCUAUUCCUGGAUUUCUGACCCAUAGAAACUAUGAGAUAAUUGCUUCUUGUUUCGAGUCACUAAAUUUGAGGGUAAUUGUUACAUAGCAACAGAUAACCAAUACAAUGAUAAGUGAAGAGUAAGGCCUGAGAAAUGACCGUUUAAUUUAAUAUGAAAGUCACUGACUACUUUGAAAAGAGCAGUUUCAGCAGAGCGAUGUGGGCAAAAGCCUAAUUAAAAUGUGCUCACAGAUAAUGAGAGAAGAGAAAGUGGAGACAGAUAACUGACCAUUCUUUCCAUAAGUUUUGCUGUAGGCCGGGCGCUGUGGCUCAUGCCUGUAAUCCCAGCACUUUGGGAGGCCGAGGCGGGCAUAUCACCUGAGGUCAGGAGUUUGAGACCAGCCUAGUCAACAUGGUGAAACCCCGUCUCUACUAAAAAUACAAAAAUUAGCCAGGCAUGGUGGUGCAUGCCUGUAAUCCCAGCUACCAGGAGACUGAGGCAGGAGAAUCGCUUGAACCCAAGAGGCAGAGGUUGCAGUGAGCCAAGAUUGUACCACUGCACUCCAGCCUGGGCAACAGAGCGACUCCAUCUCAAAAAAAAAUUUUUUUUUUUUGCUCUAAAGAGAAGCAGAGACUUGGGACAGUAGCUGAAGGGGGAAGGGCAUUGAGAAAGUUUUUUGCUUUUGUUUUACUUUUAAAAUGGAAGACAAGGUCGGGUGCGGUGGCUCACACCUAUAAUCUUAGCACUUUGGGAGGCCAAGGCAGGCGGAUCCCUUGAGCCCAGGAGUUCAAGACCAGCCUGGGCAUGGAGAAACCCCAUCUCUACAAAAAAAUACAAAAGUUAGCCAGGCUUGGUGGUGUGCACCUGUAGUCCCGGCUACUCAGGAGGCUAAAUUGGGAGGAUCGCUUGAACUUGGGAGGUUGAGGCUUCCGUGAGCCGAGAUCAUGCCACUGCACUCCAGCCUGGGUGACAAAGUAAGACCCUGUCUCAAAAAAAAAAAAAGAUGGAAGAUAGUAUAGCCUGACAUAUAUGCUGAUGGGAAUGAGCCGAGAGAGAGACAAAUUUCAGAUAAAGGGAUGAAUGGCUGCCAAGCCUAAUGUCCUUGAGUAGUUGAGAGAAGAGAUCUAGUAGCCAAGUCAAAGAGUUGACCUUGGGAGCACAGACUGUUCAAGGAGGGCAGGGAGAAUGUGUAAGCAUAGAUACUAUCAGUGGGUAGAUGUGCCUGAAUCUUCUCUGAAGGUUAGGAAGCCAUGUCAUCAGUAGAGAAGGAGAAGGGCAGAAGGUGUAGGAGGUUGGAGAAGAUGUGGAACAGUCAUUCAGGACAGCAGGCUGAGGUAUAAGGCAACUUUCCAAGAAGUUUACAGCCUGGAUUUUUUUUUUUUUUUUAGACGGAAUCUUUCUUUGUUGCCCAGGCUGGAGUGCAGUGGCAUGAUCUUGGCUCACUGCAACCUCCACCUCCCAGGUUCAAGCAAUUCUCCUGCCUCAGCCUCCCAAGUAGCUGGGACUACAGGUGCGCACCACCAUGCCUGACUAAUUUUUGUAUUUUUUUAGUAAAGACGGGGCUUUACCAUGUUGGCCAGGCUGGUCUUGAACUCCUGACCUUGUGAUCCACCUACCUUGGCCUCCCAAAGUGCUGGGAUUACAGGCGUGAGCCACCGUGCCCGGCCCAGCCUGGAUAUUUUUAAGAAAAUAAGUAACCAAAUACUCAGUUUCCAUGUGCUCCUUUCUCAAAAUUGUUCUAUUUUCCUAAAAUAGAAAUGCCACCUACCCUUCCUCAGUUGCCCUUCUUCUACUUUACAGAAGUCACAUUUCCCAGGCAGCCCAAAUCUUACCAUACUAAGCCAGUAUAAGAGGGUGUUCAUGCUUCCUAACUCUGGAGCCAGACUGUGUCGAAUUGCAUCUAUUCAGUUCUGCUAUUGACCAGCUGUGGUAGCCAGUCUCCACGAUGGUUUCCAAUGUCCUUGCCUCUGGAUAUUCACACCUUUGAGUUGUCCCCUACCUCACUGAAUCACAGCUAGUCUGUGUCAUUAAUGUGUGACUUCUCAGGCUAGAACAUAAAGGGCAUUUCAGCCCUCACCUUGCUGUCUUGGAUUGCUUACUAUUGAGUAACCUAACCACCAUGUCAUAAAGACACUCAAGCAGCCCUUAUGGAGAGGCUCAUAUAGAAGAGAACUAAGACUUUCCACUAACAACCAACACUCACUUACCCAGCAUGUGACUGAGCCACCUUAGAAAUAGAUCCUUCAGUGCGGGGCAUGGUGGCUCACACCUGUAAACUCAGCACCUUGGGAAGCCGGGGCGGGCAGAUCACUUGAGUCCAGGAAUUCAAGACAAACCUGGGCAACAUGGUGAAACCCCAUCUCUACAAAAUACAAAAAUUAACCGGGUGUGGUGGCUCAUCCCUGCAAUCCCAGCACUUGGGGAGGCUGGGAGGAUCACCUGAGCACAGAGGUUCAAGACCAGCCUGGGAAACAUAGGGAGAUGCCAUCUCUACCAAAAAAAAAAAAAAAAAAAAAAUUUAGCCAGGCAUGAUGGCAUACACCUGUGGUCCUAGCUACUUGGGAGACUGAGGUAGGAGGAUCACUUUGAGCCCAGGAGGUCAAGGCUGCAAGUGAGCCGUGAUUGCACCACUGCACUCCAGUUUGGGUGACAGAGCAAGACCUUGUCUCAAAUAAUAAUAAUAAUAAUAACAAAGAAAAAAAUACAAGCUACAAACUAAAAGAAAAUAUUUGCAAGAAAAUACCUGAUAUCCACAUAUCAGAUCAAAGACUGUUAUGUAGAAUAUAUAAAGAACUCUUGGCCAGGCAUGGUGCUCAUUCCUAUAAUCCCAGCACAUUAGAAGGCCGAGGUGGAUGGAUUACCUGAGGCCAGGAGUUCGAGACCAGCCUGGCCAACACGGUAAAACCCUAUCUCUAAUAAAUAUAUAAAAAUUAGCCGGGCUUGGUGGCACAUGCCUGUGGUCCCAGCCACUCGGGAGGCUGAGGCAGGAGGAUCACUUGAACUUGGGAGGCAGAAGUUGCAGUGAGGUGAGAUCACGCCACUGAACUCCAACCUGGGUGACAGAGCAAGACUCCAUCUCAAAACAAAAACAAAACUCAACAGUAAUAAAAAAACAAACAUCUCCAUUAGAAAAUGGGCAAAAACUAUGAAGAGACAUUUCAUCAAAAAGAGUAUGUAGAUGGCACAUAAGCACACUGGGUGUGGUGGGUCAUGCCUGUAAUCCCAGCACUUUGGGAGCCCGAGGCCGGCAGAUCAUGAGGUCAGGAGAUCAAGACCAUCCUGACCAACGUAGUGAAACCCCGUCAUGCCUGCCUGUAGUCCCAGCUACUAAAGAGGCUGACGCAGGGGAAUCGCUUGAACCCAGGAGGCAGAGGCUGCAGUGAGCAGAGGUGGCACCACUGUACUCCAGCCUCAGUGACAGAGCAAGGCUAUCUCAAAAAAAGAAAAAAGAAAAGACGUUCAAUAUCACUAGUCACAGGAAAAUGCAAAUGAAGAUUACCAUGAGAUAGCACUCCACACCUAGUAGAACAGCUAUAAUAAAAAAGCUAUGAUAAUACCAAAUGCCAGUGAUGAUGUGGAGAAACAGUAUCUCUCAUACAUUGCUGGUGGGAAAGUAAAAUAGAACAGCCACUUUGCAAGACAGUUAGGCAGUUUCUUUUUUAAAAAAAGUAGACAUUUACCAUACAACACAGCAGUUGCACUCCUGGAUAUUUACCCCAGAAAAAUGAAAAUUUGCAUCCACCCAAAAACAAACACAUGAAUGUUCACAGCAGCUUAAUUUGUGCUAGCCAAAAACUGAAAACAAUCAAGAAGUCUCUCAAUAGGUGGACGGUAAAACAAACUGGUACAUCCAUAUCAUGUAUUACUCAGCAAUAAAAAGGAAAAAACUAUUGGCAUACACAACAACUUAGAUGGAUCUCAGAGUCAUUAUUCUGAGUUAAAAAAAAGCCAACUUCAGGCUGGGUGCAGUGGCUCACACCUGUAAUCCCAGCACUUUGGGAGGCUAAGGCAGGCGGAUCACUUGAGGUCAGGAGUUUGAGACCAGCCUGGGCAACAUGGUGAAACCCUGUCACUACUAAAAAUACAAAAGUUAGCCAGGCAUGGUGGCAUGCGCCUGUAAUCCCAGCUACUCAGGAGGCUGAGGCAGGAGAAUCGCUUGAACCUGGGGGUCAGAGGUUGCAGUGAGCUGAGAUUGAGCCACUGUACUCCAGCCUGGGUAACAGAGCCACUGUACUCCAGCUUGGAUAAAAGAGCAAGACUCUGUCUCAAAAAGAAAGAAAAAAAAAAGCCAACUUCAAAAUGUCACAUGAUUCUAUUUAAAAACAUUUUCAAAAUAACCAAAUUACAGAGAUGGAAACAAAUUAGGAGUUGCCAGGGGUUAGAUACUUUUUGAAAGUAAGUAAACAAUUCAAUUCAUAAUAACAUUGAAUAGAAUAAAAUACUUGGGAAUAAAUUUAACAAAAGAAAAACUCUGAAAACUAUAAAAACAUUGUCAAAAGAAAGUAAAGAUCUAAAUAAAGGGAGAAUAUACCAUGUCCAUGGAUUAGAAGACCUAACACUGUUGUGAUGGCAAUACUCCCCAUACUGAUCAGGUUUAAAGCAGUCCCUGUCAGGACACAUACACACCAUGGAAUACUAUGCAGCCAUAAAAAAGAAUGAGUUCAUGUCUUUUGCAGGGACAUGGAUGAAGCUGGAAACCAUCAUUCUCAUCAAACUAACACAGGAACAGAAAACCAAACACCACAUGUUCUCACUCGUAAGUGGGAGUUGAACAAUGAGAACAUAUAGGCACAGAGAGAGGAACAUCACACACCAGGGCCUGUUGGGGGGUGAGGGGCAAGGGGAGGGAUAGCAUUAGGAGAAAUACCUAAUGUAGAUUAUGGGUUGAUGGGUGCAGCAAACCACCAUGGCACAUGUAUACCUAUGUAACAAACCUGCAUGUUCUGCACAUGUAUCCCAGAACUUAAAGUAUAAUAAAAAUUUUUUUAAAAAUUAGAUAAAUUGGACUUCAUCAAAAUUAACAGCUUUUGUGUCUCAAAGGACACUAUGAAGAAUGUGAAAGAAGAAUGUGAAGGGCCAGGUGCAGUGGCUCACACCUGUAAUCCCAGCAUUUUGGGGGCCCAAGGCAGGCAGAUUGCUUGAGGUCAGGAAUUCAAGACCAGCCUGGGCAACAUGGCAAAACCCCAUCUCUACUAAAAAUACAAAAAUUCACCAGGUGUGGUGGUGGGCACCUGUAAUCCCAACUACUUGGGAGGCUGAGGCAGGAGAAUCGCUUGAACCAGGGAGUUGGAGGUUGCAGCAAGCCAAGAUCGUGCCACUACACUACAGCCUGAGUGACAGAGUGAGACUCUGGU
rnacentral:lncRNA from 1 species